rnacentral:lncRNA from 1 species
GGAGAGUUAAGGGAGGGUAGCAGUUGCUGAGAGAGCAUCCCCGUAGCUAUAAUGCUACAUUAAAACAAGCGACAAGGUAGCUUUUAAAAAUCUCCUGACAGUGCUGAAACAGAAAGUUUGCUCUAAAACCUUGUCCAACAUUAUUAGUCAAAAGAAGCUGCUCAACAAAGAACAAGUUCCAGUCUCUGUGAAGGCAGCAGAAGUCUUGCAUCAUUUUCUAUUGACUGCAGCUGUUACAGAAGAUUUCCAUUUGCAGAAUUAAGAUAAAUUUUGGGCCUACAUGACAAGACCACAUUUUAAUGACAUCUUUCCCCAGAUCAUGGAACCACAGAAUAUCCAAUAUCCUGAGUUGGAAGGGAUCCACAAGGAUCAUUGAGGUCUACAAGGAGACUUCAGAUGACUUCUGGGUAACCAUAACAGUUCAUGAAUUCUUACACCUCCAUAAACAUGGAGAUACACAUUUGUAUGAAUGCAGUGCAUUGAAUGCAUCAAGUACUUCACAAAGGAAGCAGAUCUUGCUUCAGCUUAUUUAUUAGGGAGCUAACAAAACAUUGUGACAGAGAAUUUAUUACAACACAGAGAGUGAAAAUGGGUAAGGACCUGAUCCCGAAAAUCACUGAACACCUGAAAGGCCAUGUGGAAAUAAUGGAAUCUGUGGGAAAUAUGAAAUGCUUUGUAAAAGCUACACUUAAAGCAUUUCAGUCACCGUGAUGUUGCCCAUGGGUCUAAGUACAUACAGCAGUUACAGUCACUUCCAUUGGCUCUAAAUUAUCAUCCUUUGGCUUCUAAGAUUAAAUAGGAUGGUCAAGUUUUGUGCAAACAUUACAUUCUCAACUGGACAGGAUUUCUGUCUUUCUUCAGAUGCAUUCUGAUAAAUCUGCCAGUGUUUGUCUCUGUAAUAGCAUGCCAGUAAAGAAAGAGGAGGUGUAGUAUUUUAGACCUUGAUAUUCCUUUUGUCAGCUCUUCUAUUGGAAGUUUGGUCAAAUGUUAACUACUAUGAGCCAUUGAAGUGCCAAUAAGGAGAAAAAACUGAGAAAAGCGUUUUGGCUCCAGAACCAAGUCUGUGGCAUCUUUCUUUUGUGACAAGUCUGAUUCAAAGCUUGUAAACAGCCUACACAUUUGUAAAAUUAGGUAACAAGUUAGAAAGAAAAAGAAACUCACAAAUGUUUCACACUUCUGUCACGUCUGCAUUUAUUUUCCCCCUUAGUGUAGAUUUUCAGAGCUGGCAGAACACAGUGUAGGCACCUUAGCAAACUGCCACAAGGCAGUGCUGGGAAAACCUGAAUACAGAUGGAAUAAAAAGAAACAGAUCUAGUGUACCA